rnacentral:lncRNA from 1 species
AUGGAACCCUCCCCCAGGCUCUGGGCUUGGUCUGGAGCCUGCUUAAGAUUCUCUCUCCCCCUCUCCCUCUGGCCCUCCAACUCCUGUGCACACUCUCUCCAAAAAAAAAAAAAAAAAAAAAAGAAAGAAAGAAAAAAAAAAGUCACAUUCACAUAAGAAGUUCCACAUAUUUUGAAUCAAGAACUAUGAAACAAACAAAAAGAACUAUGAAACAUUAAAAUAAGUCAUUAAUAAUAUUGGUACCUGGUUUUUAAUAUCCAAGCCCUACUUAGAUAUUAGAAGGAAAAGGAUCAAUGGUGUAUAGUAGUUUAGUGGGACAUUGGAUAUCGAUGUUUUCAAUGUAAACAUAACGUUCUGGACAUUAUGUAAUACCACAACUCACAUAUCAGAGAGCAUUAAAAAUAGUAAUGUCUUGAUUAGAUACUCAACAAAGCUAUUAUUUUUGCACAAGGGCCACAAAAACACACACAUGUACGUGUAAAAGAGGAGAAAAUGAUAGAUACCAUGAUGGAGCCAAGAGGACCAAUUUGAGGAACAACCAGGAAAUACCACUAGGUACUCUAAAAAAUAAACUCAAAGAAAUGUGACGAGGAUCAGCAUGGGUGUUGGAGAAACAGUGUUUUAUAGCUAUGGAAAACUUUUUUUUUUUUUUUUGGUGAUACCUGUGAGACCUUUGACAUGAGUUUAUAUCUUUAUUUGUUUUCUUUUUUUUAAAAAAGAACUUAUUGACAGUCAGCAUUUUAACAUAAUACUGGGCAAAAUUUGGACUCAAGGACUCAACUGGCUUUAGAAGCAUUUCUAUGUGGUAGAGAUGUAUAUAUUGUGCUCUCAUAGUUCAUUGCUAUUAAAGCUAAAAGUAUGUAAUUUAUUUUUUCCAAUGUUGCAGUAUAUCUUUUCUGAAAUUCUAUAGCAUAAUUGCCAUUACCUCUGUUAACUUGAAUUAUUUUUGAAAGUUCAGAACUUGUUUGUCUUUUUAAAAUAUUACAUGCCCAGUGCAUGAUAUAUCAUAGGUUCCUAAUAGGUACUGGUUGAUAACUUUUUUCAAUAAAUAAAGUCCUUGUCAAAUGACACGAAUCUCUUGAAAAUUACAUUUUUCCUUUUAAAUUGGCCCUCUGGUUUAUCUAUAAUUCAAUCAGUUUAGUUAUAAGUUAAUUUUGCUGAGUCUGAUCAAUUCAAUGUUCUAACAAGAUCAAUUUUGUGAACCCGCGAGGUUGACUGUAGUCUCUAGACAAUACUCAAAACACUGAUUCUAUUCUGGGAUGCCU